rnacentral:rRNA from 1 species
UACGUAGGUGGCAAGCGUUGUUCGGAAUUAUUGGGCGUAAAGGGCGCGUAGGCGGUUUGCUAAGUCAGUUGUGAAAGCCCGGGGCUCAACCCCGGAGAGUCGGCUGAUACUGGUGGACUAGAGUACGGAAGAGGUAGCUGGAAUUCCCGGUGUAGCGGUGAAAUGCGUAGAUAUCAGGAAGAACACCGAUGGCGAAGGCAGCUCUCUGGGACGGUACUGACGCUGAGACGCGAAAGCGUGGGGAGCAAACAGG